AGAACGUGGUGGAUUUUCGAUGUGACCACAAUGACAUCCGCCUUGCAGUGGCAGAACAGAUGCAAUUGCACAAGUUCUGGAGAAACUUUCUGUAGACCAGGUGUGCAGAGGGCUGGGUUGGGCCUGUCCAUCACUGCCAGGUAAGUUCCCAAACCCCACACUGUAGCACUGACUUGGGAUGGCAUGAAGAAAUGUGAAUGACUGCACUCCUUUAAGCAAGCCCCUUAUUUAAAAAAAUAUCCAGAAGUAGAUAGAGUAAGAUAGUAACCAGUUUCUAUGCUGAUUUAAACUGGUCCAUGGAAAUGGAAAACUUUAAUGUAGAUUAAAGACAUAUUCAAAAUGCAAAACCGGGCAGAGCAGUGGUAGGAAAUCCAUCAGGGUUCUGUGCCACUGCUCCUAAGACAUGAACUGCAGGGACAACUUGGAAUCAUGGCUGGGAAAUUGCCUGCUGUGUCCCCAUCGCCAAUUCAGGUCUAUGGAGAUGUUACUGUUCUUGGAAGGAGUUAGCUUGUCCAGGGCUAGAAACUCUAGAGUUAUCAGGGCUUGUUUUAUCUUAAUUGGAAAUACCAAUCAAUUUGGCCUCACUUCUGUCACCUUUCUUUUCCUCCACCCCGAGUUCCCCAAGUUCAUCUAGCUGCUGUCCUUCUUUCCUGGACUUUUGCAAUGGCCUCUUAACUGGCCAACCCCAUUUCUGCUCUGGUCCCUUCUAGAGAAAAUCUCAUCAUGCCAACCCCCUGCUUCAACCUGAAAGGACUUCCUGGUGUCCCUAGUAGAAUGUCGGGGAUCCCUAAUGUUGCCUGUGAGGCCCUGCACACUUGGUUUCAUAGUCUCUGUCCUCUUGUCUGUCACCUUCUUCACUCCUCCUAGGUUCCGCAUCUCUCAUUUCUCAAGCGGACCCUAGUCCUUUCCACUUCAGAGCCAUUAAACAUGCUAUUCCCUCAGCCAAGAAUGUUCUCACCUCUGCUCUCUGCUUACCAAACUCCUCUCCCUUAAGACCCAGCUCAAGCAUCUCCUUCCUGUGGGGUUUAGCUCCUUCCCCCUCCCACUCCCAGACAGUACAGACCACAUCCUUCUCUUCUCUGUGUCACCCGGACCUUGGGUAUCUGCAGACUGGAGCACAAUGGUUUGUUUGCCUGUCCAGCUUGACAACCAAACCCUUGGUCCCUUGAGGAAGGAGCCUUGUCCCUCUCAUGUUUACACCAGGGUGCCAAACAGAGGGCUUGGCACACACUUGAGUGGCACACACUCAAGAAAUUCUUGCUCAGUAAAAGCUAAAGGAAGGUAGAAGUAGGGUACAGCAGACCAGAGGAGGCUUAGAUAGUUCAUUCCAAGUAAGAGUGGUCAGGAAAGGCUUCACAUAUAGUUGGGUUUGAAGAUAAAGGAAGAAUUAGGAGAGAGGUUGUUUAGAAUGAGGCAUUUGAUAUGUCUGAUCAAGAUCAGCUGAUACCAUGCUUUAACAUAUAGCAAUGGUAUAGUUAAAAACAAAAGAAGAGGAGGAAGGGGAGAAGGCAGAUGUACUCAAAAGCAAGAUAAACGUCUUCAAGGAUGUAGUUGCAGGACAAUGGCUGGAAUCAGGGGCUGGCUUGCUGGGAUCUGUUCUUAGCAAACCAUUCUUGGGCCUGGGUCUUGAGGGUCUGUUCUUAGUGUAGAGGCACCAAGAGUUUGACUCCUUCAGCUAACAGAGUUUCACAGUGCUUUGCCUAUAGAGGAAGGCUGGAGCCAGGCUCUCUGCUUGAAACAGGGAUUUGGAUCUGAUUUUCUCUUGAUUGAAAGAGAGCCCACAGCCACCCAUGUAAGGCCUAGUUCUGACUGUGGGCCCUGGAAAGUCAGAGGCUACUUUAAAAAACUCAGGAAAAGAGAGAGUAAAGAGAGGAAGAGAUUUUCAAAAAUUUCUAUUCAAGAUAACCCUGCACACACACUCGAAAUUCAAAGUAUACAUAAAAAAGACUCAACAAGUGGAAUGUGAAUUCACUUCCAAAAAGAGGCAAAUUAUUGAACAAUUUGAAAAAUGUUUAAAACAAAGAGAACAACAAAUGUAGAAAAUGCAGAAAUUAAAGAAGAACAGUUGAAGAUGAUAAAUACUGAGCAUACUGGAAAUGAACACUCUACAUAUUAAACAAGGAUAUACUCUAGGUUGGACAUAGUUGAAGGGAUAAUUAAUGAAUUGGAAGCUAGCAUUGAGAAAUUCAUAGAGAAUGCAACACAGGGAGAUGAAGACAGAAGCAGUUUGAAAAAGCUGUUGAGAUGUAUAUUAGCAUGGUGAAGUGUUUAAUAGGAUUUCAGAAAGGGGAGAACAAAGGGAAUGUGGAGAAGAAAUAUGGGAAGAAAGCAUGGCUGAAAAUUUUUCACAAUUAAAGACAAACAUUCUCAGAUCAAAAAUACUCUUAGUGCCAAGUAUAAAAACAUAUACAUCUUUGCACAUAUCAAGGUGAAUUAUAAACAUCAAGAGUAAAGAGAAGAGGGCAUCCCAGGAAGCUAGGAUGUUUGAAAUAUAAUUGGGAGAAUCCUUGUUGCAGUUUGGAUUGGGCAGAGAGGGUAAGAAGCUGAACUGUAAUGGGGAAAAAUAUACACAUUUUGGUUACACCUUGCAUUGACUCUCUGUCAUCCCCUCCCUUGGUGCUGACACAUGCUUACUGUAAAACUGAUCCAAUGAUCCCAUAGAGUUGAUGUUUGUGGUUUCUUUGAAUAAACAUAUAAAUUGAUCCUUGCCUUCUUAAAACCUGAGAAAGUUACAUUUGUCUUAUCUGAGUUCCUUUCUAGGGAAACCAACUAUCAGGCCUCCCAGAUGGUAGCAAUGAGCUGAAACUCACCAGAUCACUUAUUAUGAACAAUAAGACGUCAGACUCUUCACCUGGUCUCACCGCAGAGGGGCACGCCAGCCAUGAGGACAGAUGAGGGAACACGUGAUGCCACGAUGGGGGUGCCAGGAUGAGGUUACACUGGCAUUCUCCCAAGUUUUUCAUCAAACUCAUGAAGCCUGCUGCUCCUUCAAUUCUCAAGGCGUUGGAGUGAGGCCGCCUGGGGUGAAUCGAAGCUUUCGGAUUUAUCAAAUGUGGUGUGAUUUCUAAGACGCCAUUGAGCCCUGCUAAAGGAGUUGCUAAUAUCCACCUCGUUCUGCGGUUAAGAAACCAACAGGAAAAAGAACGCACAACUCCCAGCACAGUGCUGGCGCCUGUGAGGCACUCAGCCGACGGGAGCUUUGUUCUUCGUUGUAUUGUGGCGGGGAAGCAACAUGGGGCCUUGUCCUGCGGACACACUUGAGUUAAGAUCACACUGGGGCUCCUUCAGGCCCUGGGCCAAGUUGGGGCACAGGCCGAGUUCGGUUGUUGCUGUAGCCUCAGAACCACCCAGAGUUGACUGAAGACACUCGGGGGCCUCCAUAACUGAGAGCAGGCAGAGGCAUUGUUUUUAACCCAGUGUGGACCCCCAAAUGGAACAUUUUCCUUCCCUAGGUGAACGCCUUCGGAACCCUCCGAAAAUCGCAGUUUCACUUUUAGCAAAGAGCCCCGCUGCAGCAGGGGAAAGCCCCCACAAACCCCGUCCUCUCCAAAGGGAAUGUUCCGAGCCCCCUGCUUCCUCCACCCUUCUCUUCCCCCUGGUUAAUUCCUUCGCUCCAGCUCGUUCUGCCUUCUUUCUUUCUUUGCCUUUUCGAGGCCCGCUCUUCUCUGAUUUUGAAGGGCUGGCGCAGGCUUGGGCACUUCUUUCAGGUUCUGUAUUGUAUGUCUGCCCUGUGGCUUCUCCUUUUGCAACUCCGAGCAACUCUGUGCUUGGAUUGCAGCUCCCAACAGUCCUGCCCUGACUUGCCCCAGUCACAGGGCAGAGAUGAACCAGGGACUGUACCCAGGGUUUUGAGUUCCUGCCAUAUUUAUAGCAUCAACUCUCCUUUAGCUCUUGGGAAAAAGGGUUUUAAAGUGCUGCAAUCUUCUAACACAAAAUUAUAUCAGUGCUGAAAAUGUGUUUUCCACUUAUACCCCAGCAGGAAAAAAAAAAAAGAUGAUAUCUGUUUCAGGUAAGAGUCAUGAUGACCUCAGAAAGCAAUAUCAGAAGCUAUCAAAAUGUUUAUACCUGUAUAUUCAGUAGUCCAUUCUGGAACAUUUCUCCAGUGGAUGUAAUCUUAGUCUUGGCACAAUAGAGUAUGAACAGAGAUGUUAAAUGUUAAAAGCAAUGGAAAUGUUCAGAAAUAAAGCAAUAUUUAAGUAAACAAUGA